CAGGAUGGAUGUGCCCAGCGCGGCCUCCCCACACUCUCCUGGGAACAAUGAGACCCAACAAAGGGUUCUCGGCUCUCCCACGUGGUGAACCUCGUCCUUCGCUCCCUCGGCAAAAAGGCGCCAGGCACGCUGUCGCCAGAGGAAACCCCAUCAGGCUCCUGACCCUACUUCCUUGGGCUCAGACAUCCCCCAUCAAGCCUGGAAACCAUGCAGGCCCAGAAACCCUAGUCCAGAAGUUACCCCCAGGAAACCCACAGCCCCCGAGGCACUCUCUUUCAUAGCACGGGGAUCUGUAUUCAACAGAGACUUGGAGAGCGGAGCUUACAAGUCCCACUGGUUCCCAAAUGUGAUUUUCCUCUGUUUCAUGAAGGAAUGUUGACAAAUCCAGGACACUCAGCAGUUUUGCUCUAUGAGGAAACUUUUGGGCAAAAAGAAAGGAGCCAAGGAACAAUAGCAGUCAUGCUUCCUUCCUCUGCCGCCAAGCCGAGGAGACAGUAGGCCAAGUACUGGGGGCUGACAGCCAGUUGCGGACACGUCCAGGAUUCUUCUGGGAAGGGUGACAUCUCCUACUGCUCCAGCAGAGCAGGGACACAGGCACGCACAGGGAGGGCACGCAAACACAGAAGUCUUCUUUGCAGCACGCGGGACAGAGGUAUCAUGCUGCCAGAGAGGGGCUGGCGUCUGCUAGCUGGUGAAGGUGGGGUCGAGAGAUACUGGAUCUUGCUUAGGAAGCUUUCUCGGGGGAGGCAGGGUAUGGGGUUCUGCAAAGUGACAUCAAGAGGAAAGCUAGGGCAUGGGUGCCUGGGUCGUGCAGUCAGUUGAGCGUCCGACUCUUGGUUUCCACUCAGGUCAUGAUCUCAGGGUGGUGAGAUCGAGCCCCGCGUUAGGCUGUGAGCUCAGUGCGGAGUCUGUCUGGGAGUCGCUCCCCCCACUCCCUCUGCCCCUCCGCUCAUGCUCUCUCUCUUUCUCAUCUCUCUAAAAUA
rnacentral:lncRNA from 1 species